AACGAACGGUAGCGGCGUGGAUUAGGCAUGCAAGUCGAACGAGAGUCCGUUUCGAUGGACGAAAGUGGCGAAAGGGUGAGUAAUGCAUAGACAACCUACCUUCGACUUCGGGAUAACUGGGAGAAAUCUCAGCUAAUACCGGAUAGGCUCGCAAUUACUUAUGUUUUAGCGAGUAAAGGAGGCCUCUCAACGAUGCUCCUGGUUGAAGACGGGUCUAUGUCCUAUCAGCUUGAUGGUGAGGUAACGGCUCACCAUGGCAAUAACGGGUAGCCGACCUGAGAGGGUGACCGGCCACACUGGGACUGAGACACUGCCCAG
rnacentral:rRNA from 1 species